rnacentral:misc_RNA from 1 species
AGAAGUCGUCGGCACUUUCCUCUCCCGUAGCUUCCUCUGUCUUUUCAGCUGCGGAGUAACAGGAGCAACAACUUCAGAAGCAGCAGCUUUGCUUUCAGAAGAGAUCGAAUCUAUCUGAACAUCACCUUCAUAAGUCGUCCCAGCAGACUGAACCGGAACUGGAGACUCACGAAUUUCAGCUUCAGAAACUUCCUUCACCUCUAAAUGAGGUUCAAUUUGAGGCUCAGACG